AUCAGUCGAUUGUCUCAUCUGCCUGCUUUAUUUAACCCUGAUGUUAAAUAAACUCUAUGCAAAAUGGUAAAGGUAGGCAGGUAUGCAUAUUAUACGGUAUAUAAACCAAUAAGGCUGCACAGUAGCUUAGUGGAUAGUGUUACCACCUCACAACCUGUGUUGAGUUUCAUGUGGUAUCUCUGUGAGCAAAGUUUUGCUGUUUUCUGUUUUAGCUACAAGUCAUCCAGCUCAACAGGAUUACACAGAGGAACCGGAGUCUGACAAGACACAUUCUCCUGCCUCAUCAAAUAUUGUGCAACUGGAGCAGAUGUGUAUUGCAUCACAUACUAGAAGAAUCCAAUAACUGUAAAAUUUAUUAAAGUGUAUGCGCAUCCGAAAGCUGGAGCCAUGUAAGUUUUCAACCAGUUGUUACUCUUUCCUUGGAGAGUAAUUGAUAUUAUUUGAAAUUUAUAUUAUGAUAAUUUAUGACAACUAAUUGCUAUGUGAGGUUACUUCAUUUGUUUCAUUUUCACAUUUAAAAGAAAACAAUGUUGGUUGCAUUAAAAGAAUGAUAAUAUCAUGUAAUAAUAAUAUUGCAUAAUAAUGUUAUCUUUGAUAGAAAUGCUUAAUAAAAAGAUAAUAAAAAAAAUAUUUAUUUAAACAAACAAACAAACACACAAGCAAAUAAAUACAUAUACAUACACAAAAAGGCUAUGGCUAUUGCUUGUGAAAAACAUUAGAAGAAUUAAGGUCAAUAAAUAAUCACUGUACUAUGAGACAAUACAGAAGUUCACAUCCUCAACAUUUCUAUGUACAUAAACUGAUGGAUACAGAAACAUACAUAUAGAUAGAAAAAAUUAUUAAGAAUAGAAGAUUCUAAGAAUAAAAAGAAAAUAAAAUUAUUUCCUAAAAAAGAGAAGGAAUGAAUUUCCUGUGGUGCUUCUCUGUACAAAAUGCUUCACUGUCUAUCACUGUCCAUCUAUUGUGCAAAUCUUAAAACAAAGCUCAGCAUCUUUUGGAGGUGAAAAUGCCCUGAACCACAAGCUGUAAAAUGCUGCUGUUAUUUUUGACAUAAUAAUCUCAUUAUUUUGACAUAUGGAUCUAUCCAAGCUUAUUUCAAUUUAUACAACAGCAGCUCUGACA